rnacentral:rRNA from 1 species
UUUAUGGAGAGUUUGAUCCUGGCUCAGGAUGAACGCUGGCGGCGUGCCUAAUACAUGCAAGUCGAGCGAACAGAUAAGGAGCUUGCUCCUUUGACGUUAGCGGCGGACGGGUGAGUAACACGUGGGUAACCUACCUAUAAGACUGGAAUAACUCCGGGAAACCGGGGCUAAUGCCGGAUAACAUGUUGAACCGCAUGGUUC